rnacentral:rRNA from 1 species
AUUGAACGCUGGCGGCAGGCCUAACACAUGCAAGUCGAACGAGUGGCGGACGGGUGAGUAAUGUCUGGGAAACUGCCCGAUGGAGGGGGAUAACUACUGGAAACGGUAGCUAAUACCGCAUACCAUCGGAUGUGCCCAGAUGGGAUUAGCUAGUAGGUGGGGUAACGGCUCACCUAGGCGACGAUCCCUAGCUGGUCUGAGAGGAUGACCAGCCACACUGGGACUGAGACACGGUCCAGACUCCUACGGGAGGCAGCAGUGGGGAAUCUUGGACAAUGGGCGAAAGCCUGAUGCAGCAAUGCCGCGUGUGUGAAGAAGGCCUUCGGGUUGUAAAGUACUUUCGGCGGGGAGGCGUUACCCGCAGAAGAAGCCACGGCUAACUACGUGCCAGCAGCCGCGGUAAUAC